rnacentral:rRNA from 1 species
GAGUUUGAUCGUGGCUCAGAAUCAACGCUGGCGGCGUGCCUAACACAUGCAAGUCGAACGCGAAAGUCCCGCAAGGGGCAAGUAGAGUGGCAAACGGGUGAGUAACGCGUGGGUGACCUGCCUUCGAGCGGGGGAUAACGUCCCGAAAGGGACGCUAAUACCGCAUAACAUCCUGCCUUUGAAGAGGUGGAGAUCAAAGCUGGGGAUUCGCAAGAACCCGGCACUUGAAGAGGGGCCCGCGUCUGACUUAGCUAGUUGGUGAGGUAACGGCUCACCAAGGCUUCGAUCAGUAGCCGGCCUGAGAGGGCGGACGGCCACACUGGGACUGAGACACGGCCCAGACUCCUACGGGAGGCAGCAGUGGGAAUUGUUCGCAAUGGGCGCAAGCCUGACGACGCAACGCCGCGUGGAGGAUGAAGACUUCGGUCGGUAACUCCUGUCGAACGGGACGAAAGUACUAG